rnacentral:rRNA from 1 species
CGCGUAGGCGGCAGGUAAGUCCGGUGUGAAAUCCCUCGGCUCAACUGAGGACCCGCAUCGGAAACUACCUGGCUUGAGUCCAGGAGGGGAGGGUGGAAUUCCCGGUGUAGCGGUGAAAUGCGUAGGUAUCGGGAGGAACACCGGUGGCGAAGGCGGCCCUCUGGAAUGGUACUGACGCUGAGGCGCGAAAGCGUGGGGGAGCGAACG